rnacentral:rRNA from 1 species
AUGAGCAUGGAACCAUCGUCAUGGGUGGUACCUUGCUACUCGGGCUGGUCCAUGGAAGAAGCAGCUGCGUGGAGUAGUGAAGAUAGGAUUAGCUUCCAAACAUCCUUGCCUAGCCAUAGUGAUAGUGUGCAGCUGCAGAUGGUUGAGUAUGCAGCCCCAGCCACACCCACACCCACACAGGAUAAUGACUGUAGUGAUCCGACGAUCCAGGUGUUCAAGGAAGUAGUGCAAUCGUUCCAUACUGACUAUUUGGACAGUAUGGAACGGAAGAUGCACAAGAUCCCUCCAAGCCUGAUAUGUGUUGGCAAAUGGUACAUCCAACCGGUGACUGUGGCCAUCGGUCCUUACCACCAUGGUCUUCAUCCCGGCGUGCUGGAGGCGGAGAGGGUGAAGCAUGUGGCCGCAACCCAAUGCAUCACGGACUCGGGCCGCCCAGUCCAGGAGAUGUACGAUGCCGUCUUCGCCGUGUCCGCCGACGCCCGCAGCCUCUACUACCCGGACGAGUUGGCGAGAUUCCGUGACGACGACUUUUUGCCGAUGAUGUUCCUUGAUGGUUGCUUCUUGGUGCAGUUCAUGCGUUGCUAUGGCGAUGAUGUCGACGGCAUGGAUGAGGCGCUGAACAGAUAUUUCUGCGCCAACUAUGUGCGCAUCUACACCGACAUCAUGAUGCUUGAGAACCAAAUCCCCUGGGUGGUGGUCAAAACUAUCUUGGACUUCAUGCCAGAGCCCUCCCUCUGGGAGAAGUUCGUCACUGCGAUGAGGGCCGGCAUGACAAACCAAAUGUAUUCUAAGGAAGUCCCACCCAUCGAUCUAGAUCCUACCUAUAAACCGCCGCAUCUCCUCGCCCUUAUCCGGUUCUACAUCGUGGGGAACAACGACGACAUCAAAGUCGAUCGCCCCACCGCUCCGGGCGGAGACAAGCCCAUGUCAUUAUCCAUCAGCGUCGCCGAGCUUGCCAGCGUCGGUAUCACAAUCGUACCCGAGACAGAAAUGUCAGGGUUAGUGCACAUGACCCUCCAAAAGGAAAGGUUAGUGCACAGGGGCCUCUGCGGGAAAAAGUUUGGCUUCUUAUUCGGCGAUCUCCGCGUGCCACCCCUGUUCCCAACCGACGCAAAUGCGACUUGGCUCGUCAACAUGGCGGCCUUCGAGUUAUGCAAGACCCCAGACUUCGAAGGUGAUGAUGUUAAAGAUGAAGAUUCGGCUGUCUGCUCCUACCUCCACCUCUUCGCCAUGCUGCUGGACCAGGAGGAACACGUGCAUGACCUGCGGAAAACAAAGGUCAUCGAAGGAGGAGGACUCACCAGCAAGGAGAUGCUCGAUUUAUUCACUGGAAUUGGCAAGAACAUGCGCCUCGGAAAGUGCUACCUCGACAUAAUAAUAGAGAUCGAGAAGUUCAAGCAGAGGAGGUCAAUUUGGCUCAAGUUGUAUCUCUUCUUUAUCAAGCACUGGACUAAAAUCAUGGCGGUGGUCACGGUCGUUGGUGCAGUGAUCGGCAUCUUGUCAUCGCUCCAAGCUCUCAAGCCAAGCUAA